CAGUAGCCGCGGUAAUACGGAGGGUGCAAGCGUUAUCCGGAUUUAUUGGGUUUAAAGGGUCCGUAGGCGGACUUAUAAGUCAGUGGUGAAAGCCUGUCGCUUAACGAUAAAACUGCCAUUGAUACUGUAAGUCUUGAGUAUAUUUGAGGUAGCUGGAAUAAGUAGUGUAGCGGUGAAAUGCAAAGAUAUUACUUAGAACACCAAUUGCGAAGGCAGGUUACCAAGAUAUAACUGACGCUGAGGGACGAAAGCGUGGGUAGCGAACAGGAUUAGAUACCCGAGUAGUCCCUGUCUCUUAUAC
rnacentral:rRNA from 1 species